AUUGAACGCUGGCGGAAUGCUUUACACAUGCAAGUCGAACGGUAGAGGGGGCAACCCCUCGAGAGUGGCGAACGGGUGAGUAAUAUAUCGGAACGUGCCCAGGCGUGGGGGAUAACGUAGCGAAAGUUACGCUAAUACCGCAUACGAUCUAAGGAUGAUAGCGGGGGAUCGCACGACCUCGCGUGAUCGGAGCGGCCUAUAUCAGAUUAGGUAGUUGGUGGGGUAAAGGCUCACCAAGCCAACGAUGUGUAGCUGGUCUGAGAGGACGACCAGCCACACUGGAGCUGAGACGCGGUACAGACUCCUACGGGAGGCAGCAGUGGGGAAUUUUGGACAAUGGACGCAAGUCUGAUCCAGCCAUUCCGCGUGCAGGAUGAAGGCCCUCGGGUUGUAAACUGCUUUUGUACGGAACGAAAAGGUCUCUCUUAAUACGGGGGACUCAUGACGGUACCGUAAGAAUAAGCACCGGCUAACUACGUGCCAGCAGCCGCGGUAA
rnacentral:rRNA from 1 species